UAAAAAAGACGUUUUUAGAGGAAAUAAAUCAUAAUAAUAUUCCCUCAUUUUGUGGUAUUUCAAAUUUCAAAAAAUGACCCAACAACUCUCUCUUCUCCUUUUCUCUGUUAAAUCAUCGAAUCUAAAAAAUAAUCCAAAAAACCAAGAAUCCGAUAAAUGAAAUGGUAUGCGAUUUUUUGAAUCGAGAUUCAGGGUUAAGGAUAAUCUCGAGACCAGUGGCGAGGUUUCUUGAUUUGACGGUGUGUAGAGCCAUGGGAUGUUUCUUCCACUGUUUCGGCGUCAGAACCGAUCGUUCUCGCCCUCACCUCGUCAUUUCCUGUUCCAAAUCCACUGUAAGUUUUUUUGUUUGUUUGUGUUUUUGCACUUUAAUUUUCCAGUUUUCUUGUACUUGCGUUUGGUUUCUGGGAAAAUUCAGUUCAAGAAACAUUUUCUUUCCUAGUCUUUUUCUUUUUAUUUUUCUAAAGAGAAGACAAACUUGAAUAAAGCUAGCUUCGUUUAUUUUCAUUUUGGCUGAGCAGGAACGUACUGUUUCUCGAAAUAGAUUAUCGUCUCUUUUUGUUGAUGAAGAAAGGAGAUUCUCCAUCCAACGAUUUGGAGUCUCCACAAAUUAAUAAAGGUCUCAAGGAUGAGGUAUGUAAAUCGAGCUAUUCGAUUUAGAUUAGUUGCUUUCUAUGUGCAAUGCAAAUUACAAUUCAAAUUUCUUUUUCCUUGCCAUAGGCAAAGUUCUUUAAAUCUUGUGGCACUGUUGGGAUCAACCCGAUUAAACAACAAGUAAAAAAAAUAGAGGAAUAAAUUGAGAAAUUGAACACACAAAUUUAAUGUGGAAAAACUCUUCGAACGAGGAUAAAAAAUCACGAGUAAAGAUAAUUUUACUAUAAUGACAA